GACGAACGCUGGCGGCGUACCUAAUACAUGCAAGUCGAGCGGACUUUCAAGAAGCUUACUUUUUGAAAGUUAGCGGCGGACGGGUGAGUAACACGUGGGCAACCUGCCUGUAAGACGGGGAUAACUCCGGGAAACCGGGGCUAAUACCGGAUAAUAUCUUUCUUCGCAUGAAGGAAGGUUGAAAGGCGGCGCAAGCUGCCGCUUGCAGAUGGGCCCGCGGCGCAUUAGCUAGUUGGGGAGGUAACGGCUCACCAAGGCGACGAUGCGUAGCCGACCUGAGAGGGUGAUCGGCCACACUGGGACUGAGACACGGCCCAGACUCCUACGGGAGGCAGCAGUAGGGAAUCUUCCGCAAUGGACGAAAGUCUGACGGAGCAACGCCGCGUGAGCGAAGAAGGUCUUCGGAUCGUAAAGCUCUGUUGUCAGGGAAGAACAAGUACCGUUCGAAUAGGGCGGUACCUUGACGGUACCUGACCAGAAAGCCACGGCUAACUACGUGCCAGCCGCCGCCGUAA
rnacentral:rRNA from 1 species